rnacentral:rRNA from 1 species
AGUGAACGCUGGCGGUAGGCCUAACACAUGCAAGUCGAACGGCAGCACAGUAUGCGCUUGAUCUUACGGGCGGCGAGUGGCGGACGGGUGAGGAAUACAUCGGAAUCUAUAUUUUCGCGGGGGACAACGUAGGGAAAAUUAAGCUAAUAGCGCAUACGCCCUACGGGUGAAAGAAGGAGCUCUUCGGAUCUUGCGAGCUCGAAUGAGCCGCUGUCGGAUUCGUUAGUUGGCGGGGUAAAGGCCCACCAAGGGGGCGAUCAGUAGCUGGUAUGAGAGGCUGAUCAGCCACACUGGAUCUGAGGCACGUUCCAGACACCUACAGGGGGCAGCAGUGGAGAAUAUUGGACGAUGGACGCAAGCCGGAUCCAGCCAUACCGCGUGAAUGAAGAAGGCCUACGGGUUGUAGAACCCUUUUGUUGGUAAAGAAAAGCAGCAGGUUAAUACCCCGCUGUUCUGACGGUACCCAAAGAAUAAGCACCGGCUAACUUCGUG